UACGUAGGGUCCGAGCGUUGUCCGGAAUUACUGGGCGUAAAGAGCUCGUAGGUGGUUUGUCGCGUUGUUCGUGAAAACUCACAGCUCAACUGUGGGCGUGCGGGCGAUACGGGCAGACUAGAGUACUGCAGGGGAGACUGGAAUUCCUGGUGUAGCGGUGGAAUGCGCAGAUAUCAGGAGGAACACCGGUGGCGAAGGCGGGUCUCUGGGCAGUAACUGACGCUGGAGGAGCGAAAGCGUGGGGAGCGAAACAGGA
rnacentral:rRNA from 1 species